rnacentral:rRNA from 1 species
UGGGGAAUAUUGCACAAUGGGCGAAAGCCUGAUGCAGCGACGCCGCGUGAGGGAUGACGGCCUUCGGGUUGUAAACCUCUUUCAGCAGGGACGAAGCGCAAGUGACGGUACCUGCAGAAGAAGCACCGGCUAACUACGUGCCAGCAGCCGCGGUAAUACGUAGGGUGCAAGCGUUGUCCGGAAUUACUGGGCGUAAAGAGUUCGUAGGCGGUUUGUCGCGUCGUUUGUGAAAACCAGCAGCUCAACUGAUGGCUUGCAGGCGAUACGGGCAGACUUGAGUACUGCAGGGGAGACUGGAAUUCCUGGUGUAGCGGUGAAAUGCGCAGAUAUCAGGAGGAACACCGGUGGCGAAGGCGGGUCUCUGGGCAGUAACUGACGCUGAGGAACGAAAGCGUGGGUAGCGAACAGG